AGCCUGAUCCAGCCAUGCCGCGUGUCUGAAGAAGGCCUUCGGGUUGUAAAGGACUUUUGUCAGGGAGGAAAUCCCUAGCGCUAAUAUCGCUGGGGGAUGACAGUACCUGAAGAAUAAGCACCGGCUAACUACGUGCCAGCAGCCGCGGUAAUACGUAGGGUGCAAGCGUUAAUCGGAAUUACUGGGCGUAAAGCGUGCGCAGGCGGUUGUGUAAGUCUGAUGUGAAAGCCCCGGGCUCAACCUGGGAACUGCAUUGGAGACUGCACAGCUAGAGUGCGUCAGAGGGGGGUAGAAUUCCGCGUGUAGCAGUGAAAUGCGUAGAGAUGCGGAGGAAUACCGAUGGCGAAGGCAGCCCCCUGGGAUGACACUGACGCUCAUGCACGAAAGCGUGGGGAGCAAACAGGAUUAGAUACCCUGGUAGUCCACGCCCUAAACGAUGUCAACUAGCUGUUGGGGGUUUGAAUCCUUGGUAGCGUAGCUAACGCGAGAAGUUGACCGCCUGGGGAGUACGGCCGCAAGGUUAAAACUCAAAGGAAUUGACGGGGACCCGCACAAGCGGUGGAUGAUGUGGAUUAAUUCGAUGCAACGCGAAAAACCUUACCUGGUCUUGACAUGUACAGAACUUUCCAGAGAUG
rnacentral:rRNA from 1 species